rnacentral:rRNA from 1 species
CCUACGGGUGGCUGCAGUGGGGAAUAUUGGACAAUGGGCGAAAGCCUGAUCCAGCCAUGCCGCGUGUGUGAAGAAGGCCUUCGGGUUGUAAAGCACUUUCAGUGGGGAAGAAAGCCUUGGGGCUAAUACCCUCGAGGAAGGACAUCACCCACAGAAGAAGCACCGGCUAACUCCGUGCCAGCAGCCGCGGUAAUACGGAGGGUGCGAGCGUUAUUCGGAAUUACUGGGCGUAAAGCGCGCGUAGGCGGUCUGAUAAGCCGGUUGUGAAAGCCCCGGGCUCAACCUGGGAACGGCAUCCGGAACUGUCAGGCUAGAGUGCAGGAGAGGAAGGUAGAAUUCCCGGUGUAGCGGUGAAAUGCGUAGAGAUCGGGAGGAAUACCAGUGGCGAAGGCGGCCUUCUGGACUGACACUGACGCUGAGGUGCGAAAGCGUGGGUAGCAAACAGGAUUAGAUACCCGGGUAGUC